rnacentral:rRNA from 1 species
UACGAAGGGUGCAAGCGUUACUCGGAAUUACUGGGCGUAAAGCGUGCGUAGGUGGUUUGUUAAGUCUGUUGUGAAAGCCCAGGGCUCAACCUGGGAAUGGCAAUGGAUACUGGCAAGCUAGAGUGCGGUAGAGGGUAGUGGAAUUCCCGGUGUAGCGGUGAAAUGCGUAGAGAUCGGGAGGAACACCAGUGGCGAAGGCGGCUACCUGGACCAGCACUGACACUGAGGCACGAAAGCGUGGGGAGCAAACAGG